AUGGGAAGCGCAGGAGCGCUGCUCUCCCACCCGCCACCGCAAGUCGGCAGCAUCCUCCUCCGUCGCCACCACAUCUCUCUUCCCCAUCUCUCCUCAUGCAUGCCCGAGCCCCUCCACUGCCGCCGCCGGCACCUUCGCUGUUCCGCUGUUGAGGGGAGCAGCAGACAGGACACGAAUUUGCCAGCGUCUCAAAGAGAAGAGUCUCCAUCGAGCAGCCUCGGCGCCACCCUCCAAGAUCCACUUCCAGGACGUGUCGAAAAUGGUUCUUUUGAAGGUGUCACACAGGAAGAAGAUCAGAGUAGUCUAUACAAUUUUCUUUAUCCAAGCAAAGAGCUACUUCCAGAUGAUAAGGAAAUGAGUAUAUUUGAUCAUCUAGAGGAACUUCGUGCGAGGAUAUUUAUAUCAGUAUUGGCUGUUGGAGCUUCAAUAAUUGGUUGUUUUGCUUUCUCCAAAGAUAUAAUUAAGAUUCUUGAAGCGCCUGUUAGUGUUCAGGGUGUCAGAUUUUUGCAGCUCUCCCCUGGAGAAUUUUUCUUUACAACAUUGAAGGUCUCUGGUUAUUGUGGCCUCCUAAUCGGAAGUCCUAUAAUUUUGUACGAGAUCAUAGCAUUUGUUCUCCCUGGUUUAACCAAGGAUGAGCGGAAAUUCCUAGGGCCCAUUGUUUUGGGUUCUUCAGUUCUGUUCUACCUUGGCAUUUUAUUCUCCUACACUGUUCUUGCUCCAGCAGCAUUGAACUUCUUCGUGAAUUAUGCCGAAGGAGCGGUGGAAUCGAUAUGGUCAAUAGACCAGUACUUUGAGUUCGUACUUGUGCUUCUGUUCAGCACAGGAUUAUCUUUUCAGGUCCCUGUGAUCCAGCUGUUGCUGGGGCAAGUUGGACUGGUUUCCAGCGAACAAAUGCUCUCAAUCUGGAGGUAUGUUGUUGUUGGUGCGGUGGUUGCUGCGGCUGUGCUUACGCCCUCGACUGAUCCCUUGACUCAGAUGCUUUUGGCGGGUCCACUGCUUGGUCUGUACUUGGGUGGUGCGUGGAUGGUCAGGCUAACUGGGCGCUAA
rnacentral:rRNA from 1 species